rnacentral:rRNA from 1 species
AUGAACGCUAGCUACAGGCUUAACACAUGCAAGUCGCGGGGCAGCAUGGGGGUUGCUUGCAAUCCCCGAUGGCGACCGGCGCACGGGUGAGUAACGCGUAUCCAACCUGCCCUUCACCACGGGAUAACCCGGCGAAAGUCGGACUAAUACCGUAUGUUGUCCAUUGACGGCAUCCGAUUUGGACGAAAGGUUUGGCGGUGAAGGAUGGGGAUGCGUCCGAUUAGCUGGACGGCGGGGUGACGGCCCACCGUGGCGACGAUCGGUAGGGGUUCUGUGAGGAAGGUCCCCCACACUGGAACUGAGACACGGUCCAGACUCCUACGGGAGGCAGCAGUGAGGAAUAUUGGUCAAUGGGCGUAAGCCUGAACCAGCCAAGUAGCGUGCAGGAUGACGGCCCUAUGGGUUGUAAACUGCUUUUAUGCGGGGAUAAAGUGGCCCACGUGUGGGUUUUUGCAGGUACCGCAUGAAUAAGGACCGGCUAAUUCCGUG